rnacentral:rRNA from 1 species
GAUGAACGCUGGCGGCGUGCCUAAUACAUGCAAGUCGAGCGAACAGACGAGGAGCUUGCUCCUUUGACGUUAGCGGCGGACGGGUGAGUAACACGUAGGUAACCUACCUAUAAGACUGGGAUAACUUCGGGAAACCGGAGCUAAUACCGGAUAAUAUUUCGAACCGCAUGGUUCGAUAGUGAAAGAUGGCUUUGCUAUCACUUAUAGAUGGACCUGCGCCGUAUUAGCUAGUUGGUAAGGUAACGGCUUACCAAGGCAACGAUACGUAGCCGACCUGAGAGGGUGAUCGGCCACACUGGAACUGAGACACGGUCCAGACUCCUACGGGAGGCAGCAGUAGGGAAUCUUCCGCAAUGGGCGAAAGCCUGACGGAGCAACGCCGCGUGAAUGAUGAAGGUCUUCGGAUCGUAAAACUCUGUUAUUAGGGAAGAACAAACGUGUAAGUAACUGUGCACGUCUUGACGGUACCUAAUCAGAAAGCCACGGCUAACUCCGUG